AUCUAAAUAGUUUAUAAAAAUACUAAUUUGUGACAUUAGAGAUGGUAACAUAUUACCUUUAGAU
rnacentral:tRNA from 1 species